GGGCGCAUGGUGUAGUUGGUUAUCACAUCCGCUUAGCAAGUCUUAUCGACUGCAAGUUGCGGGGGGUGCUGGGUUCAAUUCCCAGUGCGUCCA
rnacentral:tRNA from 1 species